CGCGUAGGCGGCCAAGCAAGUCAGGGGUGAAAUCCCUCGGCUCAACCGAGGAACUGCCCCUGAUACUGCUUGGCUCGAGUCCCGGAGAGGGUAGUGGAAUUCCCAGUGUAGCGGUGAAAUGCGUAGAUAUUGGGAGGAACACCCGUGGCGAAGGCGGCUACCUGGACGGGUACUGACGCUGAGGCGCGAAAGCGUGGGGAGCAAACA
rnacentral:rRNA from 1 species